rnacentral:rRNA from 1 species
UACGUAGGGACCGAGCGUUGUCCGGAAUCAUUGGGCGUAAAGAGCGUGUAGGCGGCUUGUUAAGUCUUGCGUGAAAUCUCGGGGCUCAACCCCGAGCGGUCGUGAGAAACUGGCAGGCUAGAGUGCGGGAGAGGAGAGUGGAAUUCCUGGUGUAGCGGUGAAAUGCGCAGAUAUCAGGAGGAACAUCGAUGGCGAAGGCAGCCCCUUGGACCUGUACUGACGCUCAUGCACGAAAGCGUGGGGAGCAAACAGG